UACGGGGGGGAGCAAGCGUUGUUCGGAUUUACUGGGCGUAAAGGGCGCGUAGGCGGCGCAACAAGUCACUUGUGAAAUCUCCGGGCUUAACCCGGAGCGGCCAAGUGAUACUGUCGUGCUAGAGUGCGGAAGGGGCUACUGGAAUUCUCGGUGUAGCGGUGAAAUGCGCAGAUAUCAGGAGGAACACCAAUGGCGAAGGCAGCUCGCUGGGACGGUACUGACGCUGAGGCGCGAAAGCGUGGGGAGCGAACAGG
rnacentral:rRNA from 1 species